AACGAACGCUGGCGGCAUGCCUAACACAUGCAAGUCGAACGAGACCUUCGGGUCUAGUGGCGCACGGGUGCGUAACGCGUGGGAACCUGCCCUUAGGUUCGGAAUAACUCCCCGAAAGGGGUGCUAAUACCGGAUAAUGUCUUCGGACCAAAGAUUUAUCGCCUCUGGAUGGGCCCGCGUUGGAUUAGCUAGUUGGUAGGGUAAAGGCCUACCAAGGCGACGAUCCAUAGCUGGUCUGAGAGGAUGAUCAGCCACACUGGGACUGAGACACGGCCCAGACUCCUACGGGAGGCAGCAGUGGGGAAUAUUGGACAAUGGGCGAAAGCCUGAUCCAGCAAUGCCGCGUGAGUGAUGAAGGCCUUAGGGUUGUAAAGCUCUUUUACCCGGGAUGAUAAUGACAGUACCGGGAGAAUAAGCUCCGGCUAACUCCGUG
rnacentral:rRNA from 1 species